rnacentral:lncRNA from 1 species
UGCUUAAUGAUCCUUUGUUUCAGAUCAUCAGUGAGAACAGCUGGAGUAGAGGAGUUCUCGUGAUCUUUAAUUGGAUCCUCGCAGUGGUCGUGAUCAUGAUCGUCAUCUGACGGUGGAACUGGAACAUCAGGGAUGUCGUGCUCGGGUGAUCCAACGGGAGAGAAAUCUGGAUCGAGCCGAGGAGACGGUGGGUUCGAAUCCACGGCCGGGAUGGCGGUGGUAGAGGUGGGACCCUCUAAGCCGUCCAUUUUCUGGGGACGGAAGGAGAGGGGUAGAGGACGAAGAAAAGAGUAUUGAGGCAAGAAUAGGCUGAAAUGAGAUUCCCUUUAGGUAAAACCCCUCCCGCCCAUUCUUCUUUCUUCUCCUGCUCUCUCUCUCAAGUUGCUUUUCUAACCUCUGC